AGCGAACGCUGGCGGCAGGCUUAACACAUGCAAGUCGAGCGGGCAUCUUCGGAUGUCAGCGGCAGACGGGUGAGUAACACGUGGGAACGUACCCUUCGGUUCGGAACAACUCUGGGAAACUGGAGCUAAUACCGGAUACGCCCUUAUGGGGAAAGGUUUACUGCCGGAGGAUCGGCCCGCGUCUGAUUAGCUAGUUGGUGGGGUAACGGCCUACCAAGGCGACGAUCAGUAGCUGGUCUGAGAGGAUGAUCAGCCACACUGGGACUGAGACACGGCCCAGACUCCUACGGGAGGCAGCAGUGGGGAAUAUUGGACAAUGGGCGCAAGCCUGAUCCAGCCAUGCCGCGUGAGUGAUGAAGGCCUUAGGGUUGUAAAGCUCUUUUGUCCGGGACGAUAAUGACGGUACCGGAAGAAUAAGCCCCGGCUAACUUCGUG
rnacentral:rRNA from 1 species